UUGCUCACUUUGGCAGCACAUAUACUAAAAUUGGAAUGAUACGGAAAAGAUUAGCAUGGCUCCUGCACAAGGAUGACAUGCAAAUUCAUGAAGCAUUCUGUAAUUUU
ensembl:snRNA U6 U6 spliceosomal RNA